UACAGAGGUCCCAAGCGUUGUUCGGAUUCACUGGGCGUAAAGGGUGCGUAGGUGGUGGGGUAAGUCGGAUGUGAAAGCUCGGAGCUUAACUCCGAAAUUGCAUUGGAAACUACCCUGCUAGAGGGUCGGAGGGGGGACUGGAAUACUUGGUGUAGCAGUGAAAUGCGUAGAUAUCAAGUGGAACACCAGUGGCGAAGGCGAGUCCCUGGACGACUCCUGACACUGAGGCACGAAAGCUAGGGGAGCAAACAGG
rnacentral:rRNA from 1 species